UACGUAGGGGGCAAGCGUUGUCCGGAUUUAUUGGGCGUAAAGAGCGUGUAGGCGGCCUGACAGGUCUGCUGUGAAAACUCGAGGCUCAACCUCGAGAUGUCGGCGGAAACCGUCUGGCUAGAGUCCGGAAGAGGAGAGUGGAAUUCCUGGUGUAGCGGUGAAAUGCGCAGAUAUCAGGAAGAACACCUAUGGCGAAGGCAGCUCUCUGGGACGGUACUGACGCUGAGACGCGAAAGCGU
rnacentral:rRNA from 1 species